AAAGUCGUAACAAGGUAACCGUAGGUGAACCUGCGGUUGGAUCAUUAACAAAUUUUAAACUCGCAAGAGUUAUAAAAAAGAGGAGGGUUAACUACCCGACUCGACACUGAAUGUGAAUUGUCAAAGUUUCGACUUUUUUUUUAAACAUAUUUUAUUGAUUUAUCCAAGUAUGAUUCUUAAAAUCAGAAAACAACUUUUGACAACGGAUCUCUUGGCUCUC
rnacentral:misc_RNA from 1 species